rnacentral:rRNA from 1 species
GUGGGGAAUCUUAGACAAUGGGGGAAACCCUGAUCUAGCCAUGCCGCGUGAGCGAUGAAGGCCUUAGGGUUGUAAAGCUCUUUCAGCUGGGAAGAUAAUGACGGUACCAGCAGAAGAAGCCCCGGCUAACUCCGUGCCAGCAGCCGCGGUAAUACGGAGGGGGCUAGCGUUGUUCGGAAUUACUGGGCGUAAAGCGCGCGUAGGCGGACCAGAAAGUUGGAGGUGAAAUCCCAGGGCUCAACCUUGGAACUGCCUUCAAAACUCCUGGUCUGGAGUUCGAGAGAGGUGAGUGGAAUUCCGAGUGUAGAGGUGAAAUGCGUAGAGAUCGGGAGGAACACCAGUGGCGAAGGCGACUUACUGGACUGUAACUGACGCUGAGGCGCGAAAGUGUGGGGAGCAAACAGGAUUAGAUACCCUGGUAGUCC